rnacentral:tRNA from 1 species
AGCUCAGCUGGCUAGAGCGUCCCGCACAGCGUGCGGGAAGGUCACCGGUUCGACUCCGGUAUUCUCCA